UACGGAGGGUGCGAGCGUUAAUCGGAAUUACUGGGCGUAAAGGGUGCGUAGGCGGUUUAAUAAGUUAAGUGUGAAAGUCCUGGGCUUAACCCGGGGUAGUCACUUAAGACUGUUAGACUGGAGUAUAGGAGAGGGUGGUGGAAUUUCCGGUGUAGCGGUGAAAUGCGUAGAGAUCGGAAGGAACAUCAGUGGCGAAGGCGGCCACCUGGCCUAAUACUGACGCUGAGGCACGAAAGCGUGGGGGGCAAACAGG
rnacentral:rRNA from 1 species